UAUGUCGUCGUUUUACAAUGCGCAUACACUUUCGUUUUUUGUGUAUUAGCUUAAGUUUUGCUUUUCUUUUCGGCGUAAUGGACAUUCAUUGGCAGUGAAAUGAACUACUACUUUAUUGUUAAGACAGUGGGCCGAGUUAACCAAUGGAUAAUGGUUGAUAUUUUGAAAAUAUAAUUCUACAUCAAAUAUGGAGUUCGACAUGGAGUCGUCCAAGUGGACUUUGCUGUGUCUCACAUGGUAUAGAAACAAUGUGCCGAAGAUGUCUCCUGCUGUAAAGCAGUAAAGUCCCUAUAGCCACCAGCGACACGUUCCAUCAUCUACAUCGAAAGUAAACUACCCAGCCAUCAUGCCGGUGGAUAGGAUGCGAAUGCGCCCAUGGCUUGAAGAACAGAUCAACAGUGGUUCAGUAAAGGGGCUCGUGUGGAUUAAUAAGCAAAAGAAGAUAUUCCAAAUCCCAUGGAUGCAUGCUGCACGCCACGGAUGGGAUCUUGAUAAAGAUGCACCAUUGUUUAUGAACUGGGCAAUCCACACAGGGAAAUACCAUCCAGGAGAUGACCAGCCUGAUCCAAAGACAUGGAAGGCCAACUUCCGUUGUGCAAUGAAUUCUCUUCCUGAUAUUGAAGAAGUGAAGGACAAGAGCAUUAAGAAAGGCAACAAUGCAUUUAAAGUGUACAGGAUGUUAUCGGCUGCUGAGCGGGCUGAGAAGAAAGAAAAGAAGAAGUUGGAGAAGAGACAAAAUAAAGCAAAAAAGCAAAACUCGGGUGACGACGGCAGCUGUAAGGACGAACCAGCUGCUGAGGAAGAAGACCAGGUGGAGCAUGAGGCUGAUAGCACAGUUACUAUAGCCAAUAUGGAUUCUCCUGACGACCAGUUGGUAAUAAACGAAAUGCCUGAUGUUUGCGCUGUGGUGGAAGUGACCACUGAGCAUGAGGGAGUUUUGGACAGCCAGCUGUCCACUGAGAGCGAGGUGCCACCAGUCACCUCAAGCUCUGUUUACCCUCGUUUGCAAGUCUCUCCAAUUUCAUCUUGCGGAGAGAGUGAUGCUGAAAGUGAAUACAGCGAUGAAGAUUCCAAGGAGGAAUGGGACAUGCGGUGCCUCUCAGAACCCCAGAUGACCUGCUCUGUACUGAGAUUCCCGUCCUGUAAGCCCCCCAGCAAGUCUACCUUUUUCAGCUCCGAGAAAACCAACUUCAAGGUGACUAGUUGCCAGGAGGAGUCCCCGAUGAUUGCCUACAACGUUCGUCCCUGGUGGAGACCCCACCUCACAGCCAGGCCUAUGCCCACUAGAGUGUACCCUGGCCCCCGGGCCAACCCUCGAUAUAGCUCCCAUGUGCGUCUCCAGACCAGUCCUUUUCAGCGUCCUGAAAACACUCCAAAUGUAACUUCUGACAUUGAUCUCCCUUUGCGCUCUCACAGAAGUACACUACUGCCUACCCAGACCAGUACAAAUAUUUGUUCCCAAAAUAUUUCUCACGUGUUUCAGCAGAGGAGUCCACCUGUGCCUCUCCAAACCAGUCCACGCUUGCGGCCCCAAACAAGUUCCCCUGUGCCCCCACAAACUAGCUCUCCAGCACACCCCUCUGUGGCAAAUCAAACCAGUUCCCCUGUGUGCCCUCAAACUAGCUCUCCAGCACACCCCUCUGUGGCAAAUCAGACCAGCCCCCACAUGCCCUCACCAGUCGCUCCCCAAGCUGGUCUUCUUUACCCAAGUGGUCCUCACAUACUCCUACAGAGUGGCUCUCAUUUGCUCCCUCAAACAAGCCACCAGGGGCUUUUUCAUAGCAGUCUUCUUGUCUCUCCCGACGUCCGUCCCAAUGUCCAUCCCCAGACCAAAUCCCAAAUUUACUUCCAUAGUAGUCCUCCUCCCCGUCUAAUUCUCCAAAAAAGCUCCAAAAGGCCUCUCAAGAUCAGGCCUGAUGUCAGUACCCACACAAGUCCUGCUGUCAUGCCCCAUAGCAGCACCCAUACUGGUGUCCAAGUCCCCAUUACUAAAAAAUCACACACCUUUCCCUUCACUCCUGCACCCACAAGACAAUCCUCUCCACCCGAAAGGACCUGUAGCACUGAUGGCCGUACAAGCGUAAUUGUCAAUGCUGUUGUGAAAUCGCAACUAUGACGUCUCAGUAAAGACCGUCUUGUUAUGACCUGAAGCAGAUGCUUUGCUGCUAAGGAAAAUCAGUGUGAACACAACUACCUUGGACGUCACCUCCUAUCUUCAUGAACAAAGACCACCAAAGACUUCACAGCAAUAUUUGUCUUUCUUUCUGUGAGAUGAGAGACGUUCUUGCAAAAUGUUUGGAGAAUGCCUUGAUGACUACUAGUGUUUUGUAAGACGAAUAGUGUAUUUUUAUAUAGAGAAUGGGAUAUUGAUGAGUUUUUUUUGUUGUUUCUUUUUUUCCCCAAAUCAGUUUACAUGUCUUUUAGCACACUAAUUUUGUAAUAUCAGACACUAUCAGAGCUGUGUUUAUUUAUUUGACUGUUUGAAUGAAUAUUUUCAAUUUUUAGGUGUGAUGGGUCCUUGUGCCACCAGAUGGCAUCCAAAGUCUAUCAUCUCUGCAUUAUGUUCACUCAAUGGGAUGUCCAAUGUGUUCCCUUUUUUUUUGAAGAGGGAGGAUACUAAGGGUUGUUUUCGGUGUAUGACAGAGGGGUCGGAAAGUAAGUCAUUGUGCAGACUACUGCGUACUGAGUUACAAUGGCUGGCUGGGAAAUGUGGUAUACCUCGCUUGUGCUCCUAGCUACUGUCACUCAUAAAGUAUCUUCAAAUUCACUAGAGAUGGAUUUGGCACCAGAUGCGGUAGACGAUGCCUACUCUGCAUGUCGAGAGCAGAUGCUGCAAAAGGUUUUGGCCAAAGACGGAAUUCUUCAGACAGAGCUUAGCAAGGACAGUGUAUUUAAGUCAGCAUGGAACGCAUCCCAGGGCUGCGAUAAAACAAUCUCUGGAGGUCAACGGGAGCAUACUCAGGCAUUGCAAAGUUUUGUUAAUUUUCGGGAUUUGCCAAAAAAAGUCAAUAAAGCUGUUAAGACCCAGGGUGGAAAUGUGGACAUCUACACCAACCAGUUCCAGUAUAAGUCCCUACAUUUCCUGCUGAUGGACGCCAUGCGCCUUCUAAACAAGACGGAGUGUCGCACUGUCUUUUCCAGCACUUUUGAUGACAUCACUGCAGUAAAAGGAGCUGAUGUGCGUUUUGGAACAUUCGUAUCAGCAGAAGGUGACCGAAGCUCUGCAGAGGAGGGCUGUUAUGAUGGUGGAACACUGUUUAACAUCACCACAUGGUCUGUGAUCAAUGUGGAAAGCAAUGUCUGUCGUUCAGAAGAAACCACCAUGUUAAUAUCCCCAGUGGAGCUGUUUAAAGUGGUGGAUGUGAAUACAAAUACAGAAUGCGAAAGGGAGAUUGUGUUGACCUCCUUAGGAUUCAAGAGUGAUCAUGAUUGUUACCUAUUCCCCAGGGUUGAUACUACUAAGUCUCCUUCAACAGCUCACACUACUUUGGCUACAAUGGACUCUUCUAUUGGAUCCUCCACCCAGUGGAUGAGCUCUCAUGGAGUUGUUUUCCUUACAACACUUCUUAGCAUGUGCUCAAUUUUUCUUUCACUGUGAUUCACUCCCUAAACACACACACACACACACACACACACACACACACACAGAAGCACUGCAGUGGGCCAUGUGCAAGAACAUUAAUUAUAGCAGUAAACUAUACUGGAUUGCAUUGUAAGAAUCAGUGUUUUCAUUUCAUUCUGCCUUCAUUUACUUUACCGUUUAGAUGUGGUGGGCUAAUGUGAUCAAAUAAAAAGGCUAUAAACGAA